rnacentral:rRNA from 1 species
UACGUAGGGUGCGAGCGUUAAUCGGAAUUACUGGGCGUAAAGCGUGCGCAGGCGGUUUUGUAAGCCAGAUGUGAAAGCCCCGGGCUUAACCUGGGAAUGGCAUUUGGGACUGCAAGGCUUGAGUGCGGCAGAGGAGACUGGAAUUCCUGGUGUAGCAGUGAAAUGCGUAGAUAUCAGGAGGAAUACCGAUGGCGAAGGCAGGUCUCUGGGACGGUACUGACGCUGAGACGCGAAAGCGUGGGGAGCAAACAGG